CUGAUGCAGCGACGCCGCGUGCGGGAUGAGGCCUUCGGGUUGUAAACCGCUUUCAGCAGGGACGAGGCGAAAGUGACGGUACCUGCAGAAGAAGCCCCGGCUAACUACGUGCCAGCAGCCGCGGUAAUACGUAGGGGGCAAGCGUUAUCCGGAUUCAUUGGGCGUAAAGCGCUCGUAGGCGGUCUGUUAGGUCGGGAGUUAAAUCCGGGGGCUCAACCCCCGUUCGCUCCCGAUACCGGCAGACUUGAGUUUGGUAGGGGAAGGUGGAAUUCCUAGUGUAGCGGUGGAAUGCGCAGAUAUUAGGAAGAACACCAGUGGCGAAGGCGGCCUUCUGGGCCAUAACUGACGCUGAGGAGCGAAAGCUAGGGGAGCAAACA
rnacentral:rRNA from 1 species